UGGGUUGAAAACCGAGGGGAUGACUUGUGGGGAGGACUGAAAGUGUAAUCAAACCAGGAGAUAGCUCGUUCUCUCCGAAAUAGCUUUAGGGCUAGCCUUGUGCCACUAUGCAUCGGGGGUAGAGAUACUGAAUCGGAUGGGGGCCCUUCCCAGGGUACCCCACUGAACCAAACUCCGAAUACCGAUGUAACUAUCACAGGAGUCAGUCUGCGUGGGAUAAGCUGCGUGGUCGAGAGGGAAACAACCCAGAUCGUCGGCUAAGGGCCCAAAGUCAUACUCAGUCACUAAGGAAGUUGAAUUGCUGAGACAGCCAGGAUGUUGGCUUAGAAGCAGCCACCAUUUAAAAAGUGCGUAACAGCUUACUGGUCGAGCAGUUCUGCGCCCAUAAUGAACGGGAGUAAGCAUGACCCCGAAGCCACGGGUUCGAUGAUUCUUCGGAUGAUUCGAGCGGUAGGAGAGCGCUGUACGUCAGAUACGAGCCGUACCGAAAGGAGCGGUGUUGGGGCGUACAGGUGAUUAUGCCGGAAUGAGUAACGAUAAAGCAGGUGAGAAUCCUGCUCGCCGCAAACCCAAGGUUUC
rnacentral:rRNA from 1 species